rnacentral:rRNA from 1 species
AUUGAACGCUGGCGGCAGGCCUAACACAUGCAAGUCGAGCGAGCGGCGGACGGGUGUGUAAUGUAUGGGGACUGCCCGAUAGAGGGGGGUAACUACUAGAAACGGUGGCUAAUACCGCAUACUCUCUGAUUACCCCGAUGGGAUUUGCUAGUAGGUAGGGUAAUGGCUUACCUAGGCGACGAUCCCUAGCUGGUCUGAGAGGAUGAUCAGCCACACUGGGACUGAGACACGGCCCAGACUCCUACGGAGGCAGCAGUGGGGAAUAUUGCACAAUGGGCGCAAGCCUGAUGCAGCCAUGCCGCGUGUAUGAAGAAGGCCUUAGGGUUGUAAAGUACUUUCAGUCGGGAGGCGUUACCGGCAGAAGAAGCACCGGCUAACUCCGUGCCAACAGCCGCGGUAAUAC